rnacentral:lncRNA from 1 species
AAAAGUAGACCCGUACUCGUAAAUAAACAGACCAGGCUUUGUAAACAGGUAGACUUCUUAAGAAUUCUUCAAGUGUGUGAAUUCUGGACUCUUUAGAGUUGGUCUAAUUGUAGUGUGAGACAAUGAUUCGAAAACUUGGUAGACCAUGUUUACAAAACAGGUAGGUUUGUAUUCGUAAACAGGUAAACCAUUUUGUCUCACAAAAAAAGUAGACCAUUUCUCAUAAAUAAGCAGACCAGGCUUUGUAAACAGGUAGACCUUUCAAGAAUUCUUCAAGUGUGUGUGAAUUUUGGACACUUUAGAGUUGGUCUACACGUAGUAUUAGUCAAUGAUUCGGAAACCUGGUAGACCAUGUUUACAAAACAUGUAGGUUAGUGUUCGUAAACAGGUAGACCAUUUUGUCUCACAAAAAAAGUAGACUUGUACUCGUAAAUAAGCGGAUCAGGCUUCAGAAACAGGUAGACCUCUCAAGAAUUCUUCAAGUGUGUGUGAAUUCUGGACUCUUUAGAGUUGGUCUACUCGUAGUGUGAGACAAUGAUUCGAACAGCUUGUACACCAUGUUCACAAAACAGGUAGGUUAGUCUUCGUAAACAAGUAGACCAUUUUGAUCUCGUUCUCUUUUAAUCUUGACCGUUGAUUCCUUCUUUGAAAACCCAACCAAGGUCAACUGACCCAAGUCGGGUCAAGCACUCUUCUCUCGCGUACGAUGAGAGCUGAGAAGCUCUCCGUCCCCGGCCGUCUUCUCCGACGCCGCCCGGUCGACUCUGGCCACCAUUCUCCACAAAACCACCACCAAAUUUCUUCUCUCUUUCCCCUCUACAUAACCCAGCCCGUGAAUCGCACAUACUGAUUCAAAGACAAAUCAACGACGAGAAGCUCCGACUGUGUUCGUUUGUUUCCGCCUUCUCCGGUGAUGACUUGGCCUAGAACUGGCAUAUUCGAACUUUUCCCUUCAUUCUUUGCACACUAGUGCCCUUAAUCCCUCGAAUCUUUUACAAAUCUUAAUAACCCCUUUACUGUCGAAUUUGAGUUUUCCGACGACCUGCUACGGUGGAUGCCGACGAGACUUUCUAGCGUCCUCUACUUCUUCCGAUGACCUAGGUCGACGUCAGAGGUGUUAAGCAGUGGUAAGUGACUUUGUAGCUACUGAGCAGGGUUGCUGUGUUUUCCGGUGUGUUUUUGUGAGAGAGAGAGAGAGAGAGAGAGAGAGAGAGAGAGAGAGAGAGAGAGAGAGAGAGAGAGAGA